AAAAGAAAAGAAAAGAAAAGAAAGAAACGCCGCCUCGUUCAAUUUCCACCGCCCUCGUCGUGAGAACUCGACCAAUAGAAUUAACACGGGAGUGUUCCCAACCGUCGCCAAUCCAUGGCGAUCUAGGGUUAGGGUUAGGGUUUUGGUACCUUUCUCCUUCCCCAUACAAAUCCACCGCCUAGGGUGUCUCUCCCCCUUCACCCCCACCCUCUGCGACGAUGUCCUCGGCCACGUGGCCCCGCUACGGCACCAUCCCCACCUCGCCGGAGGGGCCCUCAGCCGCCGCCGCAGACGCCGACGCCGACGCCGACGCCGACGCCGCCGCGUUCUUCACCCGCGCGAGGGCGCGGGGGAGGGCCUUCGCCGGCGCGACGCGGCCGUGGCGCGAGCUCGCCGACCCCUCGGCGUUCGCGCGCCCCUACAGCUACGGCGAGGCGGUGGAGCGCGCGCGGCGCAACCUGGGGUACUUCCGCUCCAACUACGCCCUCGUCGCCCUCGUCGUCCUCUUCCUCGGCCUCCUGUGGCACCCCGUCUCCAUGAUCGUCUUCCUCCUCCUCUUUGUCGCGUGGCUCGCCCUCUACUUCUGCCGCGACGCGCCCCUUGUCAUCCUCCGCCGCCCCCUCGACGACCGCCUCGUCCUCGCCGCCCUCGCCCUCGCCACCGUCCUCGCCCUCGUCUUCACCCACGUCGGGUUGAACGUGCUCGUCUCGCUCAUCGUCAGCGCCGCGAUCGUCGCCCUGCACGCCGCGUUUAGGGUUACCGACGACCUCUACAUCGAGGAGCAGGAGGCCGCCGACAGGGGGUUGCUCUCCGUCGUCGAGAGCCGCCACGUGCUCCCCCGGGGUGAGUGAGUGAUGCUAAUGCCCCCUCUCUCUCCUUCUCUGCUAGGGUUUCGGCUCAAGAAAACAGGAUCUGGUUAGGGUUUUGACGCAGAGCGAGACCGGAUUCUUCGCCGGCGAUUUCGGGGUUGCUUCGGGUACCUGCGUAAAAAUCGAGAUGUCUUUAUUGAAAAUUCGCACCACUAAUUCUGCAAUUAUGCUAUAAAGUAAUGAUGCAGUUUGAGGGAAUGAGAUUCGUGGUUAUGUUGGACAUAGUUAUAUUAACAUAUGAAGGGAAAUGGUCUUUCGCGCUGUACGCGGAAGAUUCCCAAUAUCAUUUGUCAGCUGAUGUAUACUCUUUUAGUUCUUUAUCUUCGUAGCACCUGUUCGAUAUUAUCAAAGUGAUUGGAGGUUCCUACAUUAACUAUUAGGGUGGUUUUGUAAUAAGAAUUGCCAUGCCACUACGGUGUGCCGUUGUGCUAGCACAAAAUAGCAUGACACGUCAAAGCUGGCGUGCCCUAGCAUGCACCCUAUUUUAUUUGUCAGCACAGUCGACAUGGACUUAUCUCGGCACAGGUGGCACGUGUUGGCCGUGCUAGACUCUGUUGAAUGGCAUAACAACUCUUACUAUGUAACAAACUGGGGUUAACUAUGCAAUCAAGACUUUUAAGUGCUUGUGGAUUAAGGUUUGCAUUACCUCUCUAUUUCCCAUAAUU